CAAAACCAUGAGAUCCCAGCCUGGCCCUACUGAAGCCUCUUUCUCCACCCCUGGGCCCCAGAAUACUGCACUUGCCUCCUUGAGUCCCUCCAACACCCACACCUCCAAGACGGCCUCCAUCCCUCCAAGCUCAUAGACCCCCAAGAGGCUGUGCUCCUCACUACCCCCUCCCAGAAAGACUCUGACUCAGCUAUCUUGGUGUGGGGCCAGCAGGCAUUUUUUUUUAACUCUUUUUACCUUUUUUUCUUUUUUUUGCUGAGGAAGAGUCUCCCAGAGCUAACAUCUGUUGCCAAUCUUCCUCUUUUUUUUUGCUUGAGGAAGACUCGCCCUGAGAUAACACCUAUGGCCAAUCUUUCUCUAUUUUUUGUAUGUGGGUUGCUGCCACAGCAUGGCUGAUGAGUGGUGUAGGCCCGCACCCCGGAUCUGAACCCAUGAACCUGGGCCACUGAAGUGGAGUGCACGAACUUAACCACUAUGUCACUGGGCUGGCCCUACUUUUUUUUUUAAGUGCAGCCACUGCCUUAGAGCUUAACUCAAGCUUCAUGAGCAAACUGCAACUCACUUGAACUCUGGGAACUUCCUAGUUGCCCAGAGCUUCCCUCUGCGGCUCUGGGGGCCUUCCUUGCCCAUCAAAGGUUUGCUGGAGCUAGUGUUGGCCUGGCCUCAGCAGCAGGUGAUGCAUGUCAGCUGGAUGUCCUGAGCCUGAGAGGGCUGCCUUCACAGGUUCUUCCCCUGACUUUGCUGCAAAACCAGGCAGACACAUCAGACCCCAGCCAGGGUCCAGCAGAAUUCUCAGAACCAAAGACCCUGAGGACAGCCGGGGCUCUCUGAGGCCCCCGGAGAAUACCUGAGGCUCCCUGAAUCACCCCAAGAACACCCAGGGUUCCCUGAGGGCCCUGAGGGCCAGACCUGCCCAUGAAGCCUCCUGGACAAAGGUCCCCAACCUGCCUGAACAUGAGGAUCACGGGAGGCAUCUGCUAAGGCCACAAGCUCCCUGGUGCUCAGGCCACACUGAAUCAGAAUCUUUAGAAAAUAAUGGGCAUGUUUAUAAACCCUCUGGAUGAUGCUAAGAAUCAGGCAAUUUAGGAGAGCAGGAAGGUUUCUUCUUGGCUCCCAAGCCAUCCCCCAAUUCAAGAGUCCCACCCCAUCUCUUGAACUUCCUAAAUGUUAGUGACUGCCUGGAAUGAGAUCAUGCCUUGCUGAGCUCAGACAAUCUAUCG
rnacentral:lncRNA from 1 species